UGCUUGCUUCGGCAGCAAUAUACUAACAUUGGAAUUAUAUUGAUACUAAGAAAAUAAGUAUGGCCCCUGUGCUAGAUGACAUCCUGCUAGAUGACAUGCACAUUUGU
ensembl:snRNA U6 U6 spliceosomal RNA